UACGUAGGUGGCAAGCGUUGUCCGGAUUUACUGGGCGUAAAGAGCGCGCAGGCGGUCGGAUAAGUCGAAUGUGAAAGCCCCUGGCUCAACUGGGGAGGGUCACUCGAUACUGAUCGACUCGAAGGCAGGAGAGGGAAGCGGAAUUCCCGGUGUAGUGGUGAAAUGCGUAGAUAUCGGGAGGAACACCAGUGGCGAAGGCGGCUUUCUGGCCUGCUCUUGACGCUGAGGCGCGAAAGCUAGGGUAGCAAACGGG
rnacentral:rRNA from 1 species